rnacentral:piRNA from 1 species
UAGCACUGGUCUGUGGGUGACCUGGUC